rnacentral:sRNA from 1 species
CCAGCCCAAGUAGGUACAGCUGAAGGUACACCCCAGAUCACUUUCUUCUGCUUUGAAUGGUCCUCAUGCCUUGCUUCUAUCAAACUGUAACUGCUCAGACCCCGCCCUCUACCACUGAAGACUGUGCUCCCAGAACCUGAAGCCCAGCACAACUAAAGCAGCUAAGCAGCUUGUAUCUGACGCAUUGUGAGGAAAGAGAAGAGCCAAGUCGUUCACCAGAUCCAGAACCAAAGACUUAGCCAGAUGAGAGAGUACCUACCCACGUGCAUGAACCCCAGAAACAAAAUGGAGUUCAGUGUCGAAUAGGACGAUGUAUGCAGCAUGGGAAGAAAUAACCUUCAGGGGAGAAUCAAGAAAGUGGAUACGUGGUGGCGCUGUCAGCAUUGCAAGGAUUUAGUUCCAACAACCUAAUGAAGAGAAUUGAAGCCACCGGUGAGGAAAAAUUUAAAGUGGUCCUGGAGAAGUCAGAACAAAUUGCCUGAGGGGUCAAAACAAAUCCCCAAAUUUAUAGACAUCCUCCUGCCUCUGCCUCCUGAGUGCUUCAAUCAAAGAGUAUCACAUGGCCCAGACUGGCUUCAUAUAAACUGAGGGUGACCUUGAACUUGUUACCUUCUGCCUCCACCUCCUGCCAAGUGCCAGGGUUCCAGGGGUAAGCCACCAUGCUGAGGACACUGGGCGGGGCUUUGUGCUUGUGAGCACAGCAUCAGGUAAGCUGUAUCUUCAUCCUGUAGGAUGUCUUUAAAGGUGUCUCUCCUUAUGCAUUUCAAAUUACAAAGAAACAUUCAAAUACAGAACAAAAUGAGGCUCCUUUUUUAUAAGACAGAACAGAGUCUUCCCUCAACCCCCUCCCCCAAAUCCCAACAUUCAACUUUACAUAUUGGAUGAAUUAUGUAGAAUAGAUAACCCCAUUUUAUAAGUUUGUUUUCUAUGAUAUCUGUUUUUAGGCAAACUGUCACAUUAUUUUACCAAGCACGUGACUUCAUGUUUAAGUACACAAAUACAGCAUAAACUUGGAUAUCUGUGUAUAAACAUAUCUAAAACAUAUUUCAAGGCCUACAAGCACCAUGCUUUCCAAAGGACAAUAAACACAAUUUUCCACUCGCUGCAUAAUGACCUGAGGCCUUGUACAAACUAAAAUAAACUGCACUAAUUUUUCAGUUGUGUGCUAAGACCUUAAGUUCACCACAAAAGGAUUUCCAAACCGACUUGGCACAUAAGCUGAUGGCUGAGUGAAGGCACAAUUGGGGAUUGUUCUGCGGCUGGAGGGAGUGGGAAGGCGCACCCUGACCUUCUGUGCUGAAGGGUUCCUUUUCAUCUGGUUUCAAUUCCCUUGUUUGUGCACCUUGCCAUAUUUAUUAUUGAAUUCCUGUUUUUUCUUCUUGUUGUUUCAUGUUCCAUGUUCCAAUGAUUUAUGAGAAAUAGCUGGUCUAGAUGUUAUCUUUGGCACAGAGAGCGCCCAGAGCCCCUUAAGGAGUCUGAGAGAACAAAUGUGUUGAAGCUUCAUGAUAUCCAGGCGGAGCAGAUGUCCGUCAAUGCCUGAACGCCGCCAGCAGCAGCCUCCUUAUGAUGAUGGAUUUUUCUUCCUAGAUGCAGCAAAGCGCAGCUGCAUUCAGAGAUCAUGUGCAUCCCCUCACUUCGCUGCUGCCCCUUGUGAGACGAUAGGACUUGGUGCUUAAACAACCCUAGAGAAGAAAUGCCCAAAGAUCAACCCCUCGGCCCCCAGUAACUGAGGAUGAUUGGGAUGUCUUCAGCACUGCCAUAUUUGAUUGACUAAGAAAUAAAAUAGGCUACUGAUAUUGUGCUUAUUUUA